GGGCCAUGGUGGGGGAAUUCCUAGAGGAGAUCCUUGAAUCUCUCCAUAUGUUUAGAAAAGGACUCACUAGGCUUCUGCCUAAAUUGGAGGAUAUCACUUUUAAGCUU